UGUAGUGUAGUUUAGUGGUUUGAGUAUUGGACUAUGACUCUGAUGAUCAGGGUUCAAUUCCCCAUUUAG